rnacentral:rRNA from 1 species
UACGUAGGGGGCUAGCGUUGUCCGGAUUUAUUGGGCGUAAAGAGCGUGUAGGCGGCCAGAUAGGUCUGCUGUGAAAACUCGAGGCUCAACCUCGAGAUGUCGGCGGAAACCAUUUGGCUAGAGUCCGGAAGAGGAAAGUGGAAUUCCUGGUGUAGCGGUGAAAUGCGCAGAUAUCAGGAAGAACACCAAUGGCGAAAGCAGCUCUCUGGGACGGUACUGACGCUGAGACGCGAAAGCGUGGGGAGCGAACAGG